rnacentral:rRNA from 1 species
CUAGGAAUCUUGUGCAAUGGGGGAAACCCUGACACAGCUACGCCGCGUGGGUGAGGAAGGCCUUCGGGUUGUAAAGCCCUUUUAGUUGGGAAGAAACAAAUGACGGUACCAACAGAAGAAGCACCGGCUAACUCCGUGCCAGCAGCCGCGGUAAUACGGAGGGUGCAAGCGUUAUUCGGAUUUAUUGGGCGUAAAGCGCACGUAGGCGGUUUUGUAAGUCUGAUGUGAAAGCCCGUGACUCAAUCACGGAAGUGCAUUGGAUACUGCAAGACUAGAGUAUUGGAGGGGAGAACGGAAUUCCUGGUGUAGAGGUGAAAUUCGUAGAUAUCAGGAGGAACAACGGUGGCGAAGGCGGUUCUCUGGACAAUAACUGACGCUCAGGUGCGAAAGCGUGGGGAGCAAACAGG